AUUGAACGCUGGCGGCAGGCCUAACACAUGCAAGUCGAGCGAGCGGCGGACGGGUGAGUAAUGUAUGGGGAUCUGCCCGAUAGAGGGGGAUAACUACUGGAAACGGUGGCUAAUACCGCAUACUAUCGGAUGUACCCAUAUGGGAUUAGCUAGUAGGUGGGGUAAUGGCUCACUUAGGCGACGAUCCCUAGCUGGUCUGAGAGGAUGAUCAGCCACACUGGAACUGAGACACGGUCCAGACUCCUCCGGGAGGCAGCAGUGGGGAAGAUUGCACAAUGGGCGCAAGCCUGAUGCAGCCAUGCCGCGUGUAUGAAGAAGGCCUUAGGGUUGUAAAGUACUUUCAGCGGGGAGGCGUUACCCGCAGAAGAAGCACCGGCUAACGACGGGCCAGCAGCCGCGGUAAUAC
rnacentral:rRNA from 1 species